rnacentral:rRNA from 1 species
CCGCGGUAAUACGGAGGGUGCAAGCGUUAAUCGGAAUUACUGGGCGUAAAGGGUGCGUAGGUGGUUAAUUAAGUUAUCUGUGAAAUCCCUGGGCUCAACCUGGGCAGGUCAGAUAAUACUGGUUAACUCGAGUAUGGGAGAGGGUAGUGGAAUUUCCGGUGUAGCGGUGAAAUGCGUAGAGAUCGGAAGGAACACCAGUGGCGAAGGCGGCUACCUGGCCUAAUACUGACACUGAGGCACGAAAGCGUGGGGAGCAAACAGGAUUAGAUACCCUGGUAGUCCACGCUGUAAACGAUGUCAACUAGCUGUUGG